rnacentral:rRNA from 1 species
AGUCGAACGAUGAAGCCCAGCUUGCUGGGUGGAUUAGUGGCGAACGGGUGAGUAACACGUGAGUAACCUGCCCUUAACUCUGGGAUAAGCCUGGGAAACUGGGUCUAAUACCGGAUAGGAGCGCCUACCGCAUGGUGGGUGUUGGAAAGAUUUAUCGGUUUUGGAUGGACUCGCGGCCUAUCAGCUUGUUGGUGAGGUAAUGGCUCACCAAGGCGACGACGGGUAGCCGGCCUGAGAGGGUGACCGGCCACACUGGGACUGAGACACGGCCCAGACUCCUACGGGAGGCAGCAGUGGGGAAUAUUGCACAAUGGGCGCAAGCCUGAUGCAGCGACGCCGCGUGAGGGAUGACGGCCUUCGGGUUGUAAACCUCUUUCAGUAGGGAAGAAGCGAAAGUGACGGUACCUGC